UGGGGAAUAUUGGGCAAUGGGCGCAAGCCUGACCCAGCAACGCCGCGUGAAGGAAGAAGGCUUUCGGGUUGUAAACUUCUUUUGACAGGGAAGAGUAGAAGACGGUACCUGUCGAAUAAGCCACGGCUAACUACGUGCCAGCAGCCGCGGUAAUACGUAGGUGGCAAGCGUUGUCCGGAUUUACUGGGUGUAAAGGGCGUGUAGCCGGGUUGACAAGUCAGAUGUGAAAUCCUGCGGCUUAACCGCAGAACUGCAUUUGAAACUGUUGAUCUUGAGUACCGGAGAGGUCAUCGGAAUUCCUUGUGUAGCGGUGAAAUGCGUAGAUAUAAGGAAGAACACCAGUGGCGAAGGCGGAUGACUGGACGGCAACUGACGGUGAGGCGCGAAAGCGUGGGGAGCAAACAGGAUUAGAUACCC
rnacentral:rRNA from 1 species